rnacentral:rRNA from 3 species
AACUUUCAACAACGGAUCUCUUGGCUCUCGCAUCGAUGAAGAACGCAGCGAAAUGCGAUAAGUAAUGUGAAUUGCAGAAUUCAGUGAAUCAUCGAAUCUUUGAACGCACCUUGCGCUCCUUGGUAUUCCGAGGAGCAUGCCUGUUUGAGUGUUA